AGAAACAUAGAAGGAAAAUAAGAAGAGGCAAAGAAGUAAACAAGGAAUGAAGGAACGGGGGGAAAAGAGAGAAAGAAGAGGAGAGAGUGAAGCUGUACACGAACCUCCAAGCAGGGAUUCGAAACAGUGAUAUGAAGCAAUGUGACUUCUGUACCUACUACUACCAACCCUCUGCCACUCAACCUCCGUGCGUGUUUCGAGAGGUGUGUGUGCAGGAUGACGGCAAACACGUGGAUACCUGGGGAGGGACCAAAUUACAGGUACUACAACAACAACAACAACAACAACUACU
rnacentral:lncRNA from 1 species